rnacentral:rRNA from 1 species
UAGGGAAUAUUAGUAAUGGGCGAAAGCCUGAACUAGCAACGCCGCGUGUGCGAAGAAGGCCUUCGGGUUGUAAAGCACUUUUUGAGAGGAUGAGGAAGGACGGUACUCUCAGAAUAAGUCUCGGCUAACUACGUGCCAGCAGCCGCGGUAACACGUAGGAGGCAAACGUUAUCCGGAUUUACUGGGCGUAAAGCGCGUGUAGGUGGUUUGGUAAGUAGGGCGUGAAAGCUCCUGGCUCAACUGGGAGAGGCCGUUCUAAACUGCCGAACUAGAGGAUGGUAGAGGGAGGUGGAGUUCCAGGUGUAGCGGUGGAAUGCGCAGAUAUCCGGAGGAACACCAGUGGCGAAAGCGGCCUCCUGGACCAUUCCUGACACUCAGACGCGAAAGCUAGGGUAGCAAACGG